UACGUAGGCAGCAAGCGUUGUUCGGAGUUACUGGGCGUAAAGGGUGCGUAGGUGGCUCUAUAAGUAUGGUGUGAAAUCUCCCGCUUAACUGGGAGGGUGCGCCGUAGACUGUGGGGCUAGAGUGUGGGAGAGGAAAGUGGAAUUCCUGGUGUAGCGGUGAAAUGCGUAGAUAUCAGGAGGAACACCGGUGGUGUAAACGGCUUUCUGGACCUAUAAC
rnacentral:rRNA from 1 species